UCGUUUUUUGCCGUCACGUUUAAUCACGUUAUUUUCUAACAGAUAUUCUAUAAAUUUGUAUUUUGUAAAUCAUAUAAAUUGGUAUAUGUAUAGAUAUACACACAUAUUAUUAAUAUAUAUUUAAAAUAUAAUUUAUAAAAGUAUAAAUAAAUUUAAUGCAUAAUUUCAAAAGAUUGGUGGAAAUGGACAAUGUGGAAAUUAUAAUGGUCAAAUCUCGUGAUUUGUGUUGUAAAAACUGUAAAUACUGUGAUGGAAUAUUUAGAAAGAUUCUGGUAAAAAAAGGAAAUUCAUGAACCUAAGCACAUGUGAACUUAUUAUGAGCACAAUUGCUCAAUUUUUUCUGUAGAAGAUAAAGUCGAGAUAAAGGUCCGAGCUAUCGUGUGGAUUUGUUCAAUUGCCAUUAAUAAAUUUGUAAUAAUUUGUAAUGAAAUGACAACAUUCAUUUCAUUAAAAUCCACUGCGUUAUGUUUUCUUGUGAAAAUGGUGAAGGAAGUUUUGACUCUAAUCUUCUUAAAUGUGAUUGGCAUGAUGAAAUUAAAUAGAAGUUUGAAAAUGUAUGGUAAGCGAUAUGUAAUUGAAGAAAUGAGUCAUGGAAAAAAUUGAAGAUAAAUUUAUGAGCGAAAAUAAAUAUAAAUCUGAGGAUAUCUUCGUUAACAGUAUUCCUACGUAUUUAGAAGCAUUGAAAAAAAAAAAAAAAGAAAA